AUUUUUAUUUAGCUCGACAUUAAAUUACUCCACUAAUGGAUAGAGCAGUUUGCUAUGGAGCAGGAAAGCUAUGCACAUGCUUUGGAAAGACAAUUGUAGUGUAGGGUGCGACAUGCGACUGAAAUUUUGCGGGUGAGGAGAGCGCAGGGCAUGAAGCAUGGAAAUCUUGUUAUGACAAGCAUUAUCUUAGUUAAGCCCACAGAAUUAUGGCUUCUAUGAAGGAACUUUGAAUGUCGUUGACCUUCAGAGAGUUGGCUUAACUAACGUUGGACUAGAGCUAGCCCUUGAUCAUGACUCUCAGUUCUAUUACAUUCCUUAUAAUGCUGCCUAUUGUUUUUAAGAGCUAGACCAAAGCUAGCUAACAAGCUAGCUAGCUAAAAAGCUUGAGUGUGCAGAGUGGCACCAGAAUAAAGAUAAAAAUAAGUUAACAUAAAUUAACGUUAUUAACCAGUAUCCAUGCUUUUAAAAAUAACGGUUAUAUUCCGGAACAGUAUAGAUCACUUUUGUUCUCGGUUCUGGUUCUGUUCCUAUCUCCAAGUAUACUGGCAGCUACCAGGUUGUUAGCUAGCUAGCGAAUGAGAUAACAUGACUAAACAAAGUGUAAACAAAUGGUUAACAAUGCGCGAGCAGUUUAAGAACAGCCUACGACAUGGUUUAUGAAUAAUAUGCUGUCCUGGUGGUCUGCUAUAGGAAAGUAAAAAUGUUGUGCCAGUAUUAUGGGUCAGAUCUUUUGACCUCGUUGCUGUUUUUCUCUAGUGCACUAGGAAAUAACGGUACAGCGAAGCCUUAUCAUUACAACAAUUAUUAUCUGGUAGAUUUUUUUCCUUAGUCACACAGUGCUCCCAAAAUAAACUCCUGGUCGCACAGAAAAAUAUUCCGUUGCAUAUGCAACUAAAUUGGUCGCACUUUAGAGGCCUGGGCAUAAGAUGUGUUUAAGGUUAGGGUUAAGGUUAAGGUUAAGGUUAGGUUUAGGUUUAAAAUCAGAUUUUAUGACUUUGUGGCUGUGCCAGCCAGUGACUACCCUGCAGAGCUGCCUCCAGUACAUGAGUCAUCCCAAUAAAUGCCAACAUUGUCAGGCCUGUUUCUCAUCUCCUAAAGCCACAUCCUUUUUCAGAAGUGUCAGAAUACAGUUGGAAUUCAGGCAGAAUGGUCGUCUCGCUGUUUCCCUUUUCCUCUGCAUAGUUCUAAAGAGCAAGUGGGGCUUUAGUAAAGAGAUUAUGGUUGGGCUAUCUAUUAGGAUUUAGUUUGUAUGGUUGUGUCAUAGAUAUUAAAAUAAUUAGUAUAAAAGUCCUAAUUACUUGAAAUAAAAAUAAACAUUUCAUCUGUUUAAUCUGCCACAUCUUUUAUUUACAGUAUAUUUGACAAAAUGUGUUUGUCAUGCACAUAUGCAAGCUCAUACAACAGUCACGCAUGCUCACACGCACACAGGCAUACACACACACGAACACACACACACUGCCAAAACCAUUGGUUUGUAGAGGAAGAUGACAAAUAUUUCAGAGAAUGCAGACUGAAUGGGGGGAAAUUCAUAUGCAACACUAUGUUCUUUUUCACAUUGAAGAAUCAAAUCUAAUAUUUUGUGGCCAUUGAGCAUUGGGUUAGGCUGUGAAAGAGAUGUUGAUUGCCUCUGCUAACAAGAGCAUAAUGUAUUCUAUUGUGUUCAUCAUUCGUCCAUGUUUAUUAAGGCAGGAACAGGCAUGAUAUUUCUUGUUCCCUCCCAUCUCCCUGCCUCCCCCCCCCUCCCCUCCUUCUUUCUCUCUCUCUCUCUCUCUCUCUCUCUCUCUCGCUCUCUCUCUUUCUAAGUGGAUGGGGCAUGUUGACGUGGAGGUGGUAUGACAGGCAAGGCAUCCUAAAGCCAGGAUAGGAAUGGGAGGAUGAGAGGAAGAAAGAAGAAAAUGAGGGUGGGAAGAUGAGUGAGAGAAAACAGAUAAAUAUAUCAAGAAAGUAAGAGACACAAAGGUCCACGUGUAACCACACUGUCAAGAUUAUAGAGGAAGAAGACGAUAGAUUGAGAGAUAGAGGAAGAGAAAGGAGAGGGAGUGAGAGGAGAGGAAGAGAGAGAGAGAGGGAGAGGGAGAGGAAGAGAGAG
rnacentral:lncRNA from 1 species